UACGUAGGGUGCAAGCGUUAAUCGGAAUUACUGGGCGUAAAGCGUGCGCAGGCGGUUAUAUAAGACAGUUGUGAAAUCCCCGGGCUCAACCUGGGAACUGCAUCUGUGACUGUAUAGCUAGAGUACGGUAGAGGGGAUGGAAUUCCGCGUGUAGCAGUGAAAUGCGUAGAUAUGCGGAGGAACACCGAUGGCGAAGGCAAUCCCUGGACCUGUACUGACGCUCAUGCACGAAAGCGUGGGAGCAAACAGG
rnacentral:rRNA from 1 species